GGACUAGUCGUCAAAUAGGCAAGACAUAACAUUUUCACUGUUGAAACGCAGGUUCGAAUCCCGCCUAGUCUA
rnacentral:tRNA from 1 species